AAACUGUCGAAUUUCAUAAGUCCGCGCAGCUCUCCGUCGUCGUCGGUACGCGCACUGCACGGUUUUUACCUUUCCAAAAACAAAAACAAAAAUCGAAUAUAAUCGCAUUGAUCAUUAACUUUAUUAGAUUUAAUUAGAAAAAAUAUAUAUAUAUAUGUAUACAAAAACCCCGAAAAAAAAAAAAAAACAAAAACCCCAAUCGCGAAUCGGAUUCGAGUCCCGCAUUUCUAUACGCUCCCGAUAGUAUUAUUACAACCGAAAACGGGAAAUCGUUUACGAUUGUCAAAAAAAAAAAUAAUAUACCGCAGCGUCCGGCCCGGAGGUAUUACGGCCAUCGCGAUAUCUCGAAUAGCAUUAAGUGUGUCAGUAAUUUUUUGCCUUUUUUUUCUUUUGUUUCGUUUAACAACUUUAAUAAGAAAUGAGUAGCUCUGAAAUGCUCGCCCCGUCGUUAAUUCUUUUGCCGCCCCUGUUUUCGGGGGUGAACCGACCACCCGGUUCACACUUCAAACGGCAUCUCGAACGGAAAUUUCCAUAAAUAGACGGAAUGUCGUUCGUUUUAUAUUAGACAUUCCGGUUUUUAAGGUUGGUUGAUGGGGAGGAGGGGGCGGAGGGUAGUAGCGGACCGCCAUUUGCGUGGCGACACAGCGCGUCGGGUUCGAACGGCGUUCCGCAACUAAACCUCCCGUUGCCCAAAUUUAAAAUUUAGAGUAACUCGUCAACGGGCAGACGGAAAUCAAACAUUUCGACAUCGAUAUCCGAUAUAUGUGGACCAAAAUAAAUCCGUCUAUAUUUGCGGGAUUUUCAAUGUAGGCUGUCGUUUGAAAAUCAAAAGCGUAGUGAGCCGCUGUCGGUUCAGUCCAGAAAAUAACGCGUGACGAAACAUAAACGUUUUAGAGAUACUUGCUUUUUAAAUUGUCGGUAAAAAAAAAAAAAAGCGUCUAAAAAAUGUCAACACUCUCCUCCAAGGUAUCGCAAUGACCGUGUCUUCGUGGGACGUAUCAAACAUAAUAUAACACAUGCGUUACGGUAUAAAAGUAAGAAUACCGGUGAAAGCCACACCGAUAAGUCUCAGGUUUUACCGACUAUACUGUCGGUAAACGUCCGAAUUCCAGAUUUCGAAUGUCUUAAUUUCGGACGUUAACCGCUCGAUUUCGGUAAAACUUAGGACGUACGAAUUAUUUUGGUCGAACCCCGAACGGUUAUUUUCGUAUAACGGACUUUUACGGACGAGAUUUGGUAAAUCGUAGGAUAAAAAUGGCUGUUUCGUUAUAUAGUGUCGGUAAAAGUCCGAAAUUUCCAUUUUUUUUUUUGUUCUCUCUUCCUACUUAUCGUGCGGUUUUUUCCUCUUGCUUUACCCUAGGAUAUUAUUACGUAUUAUUCGUACGCCAUUAUAAUAAUUAACAACCGUUAAUAAAAAAAAAAAAAAAAAAAAAAGAUUAUUUUCGCAGGCUUGGCUACUGUGACAUCUUUGGUUACAUAAUUAAUUAAUCGACGGACAUUUCCGUCGGUUUGUCUUGCAUUUUUUUUUUCACCCGAGAAGGAGAGCUGCGAUACCGCGUGUGUAUGGAACAGGUGAAAAAAGAAAAACCACGCCCGAUAAGUAGAAGAAAAAAAAUAACGAAAUUUCGGCCUUUUGAUUACAAUAAUAUUAUAUUUCAUCCUACGAUGUACCGAAUCCCGUUUGUAAACGUCCAGACUUCAAAAAAUCAUUCAGGGUUUAGCGAAGGUAACUUUUAUUUCCUGGAUUUUGUAUAUAAUCGCACAAUUAAUCACCCGUAUCCCUAAUUUUACCGUAACAUAUUUUAUUAUGCUAACGUCGAAAUUCGUAAUUGAAUAAACCGAAUCCAUCACGUGUAAAAUAAAAUCUUUUCCGACAAGUGGCGACUGCAGAAGGGUUGAAAUAAUAAAAAAAAAUGUAUACAUAUAUAUAUAUAUAUAUUAGCAUAUUCUAAUAACUAUAAUUUUCCGUGCGUAAUAAUGUAACAAGUGCCGACUCGAAUUCAAAAUUGUACUUAUUUAGAACGUUAAAAAGAAAACAAUAAUAAUAUUUUGUUCGCCGGAUUCCGGAAAACUGGGCGAUAGUUAAUUUAAUAAUUAUGAUCAUUUUUUUUUUUUUUUAAACCCUAUAAAUUCCUCGCAUCGCUCAGAAAAUUAAAAAUAAACAGUGGAAACAAAAUAUUGAAAUAUUUCGAUAGGGAAAAUGCAAUUUUUUUUGUAUAUCAUAAUAUUAGUACACCAGAAUUGUGAAAUUUAAAAAUUAAGUAAACAAAAAACUCGAUGAGUGUAGGUCGUGGUUACAAACAGCGCUGCUCUGUGUGAUUUUUUUUGAAAAUGUUUUCCCCCCCGAACUCCGAGUUGUUAAUCAAGAUUUCGCGUAGUGUUUCGCGGGUAUGAGCAGACGGACCGAUCGUUUUAGACUGCCUACCACUUACUAAUUUAUAAAAACAAACGAAGCAAAACAAAAUAAAAAAAAAUCAUAAUAAUAAAUCGCGAUUGAUCGAUUUCGAGUUGUUCUCGACUUAGAUGACGGUGCGACAGACCAUCCCGUGAGGUACAUCGAGUUGAACAGAUCUCCGACAACUUAUCACCGGUGAAAUAUCGCAAAGCCAAUACGUCGUAUGCGUACAACGUCAUCAGUAAAUAAUCACAUGGACAAAAUAUCGUAGCUAAUAUAUAAUCAGUGGCACGUUUAGGGGGACUAGGGGGCAUGUUUAGUCUAUCUGGAUCGUCCGAAACCCCUUUAAUUCUAACAAUAAUAUUUAUGUAAUAUCGUAGUGCAGUUAGCUGCAAAUGCAGCUAAUGUUAGCCUACCGUGGCACUGCUUUCAGCCCGACCGACCGUUUUGUUGUUUAAAUUCCUUUGCGUAUUUGAAUUCCCUGCUACUGUACUGUAACUGUUGCAAUUUCAGUUAAAUUUCGUUGGCGUCACAUACCGUUUAUACGUUUUUUAGACAGAAAGACGUCGGGGCAGAAGGUCAAUGAGCAUAUCCGCUGUUAAGUCGACGGUAUUAUUUUAUCGCUGCGAUAUUAUGGUCACGGACGAUAAUAAUUCCUUGCGAUACAUUGGUUUCGCGAUAUUUCGUUGGCACUAUUUUACUCACAUGUUUGAUAUUAUUUUUUGUCGGCGAUAUUUUGUCGGCAUACCGAGUUGACCGAGAGUUAUUUUCCGGGACGGGGACUGACAGUUAAUAAAGAAUAAAACAUUAUAUUUAUUACGCGAAAAACAAUAUACCGGAAGCGCAAUUUUCACAAACGUUUCUUAGAAAACUCGAGUGGAAUGAGAUGAAAAAAAAAAAAAAAAAAAAAAAAAAAAACAUUUGCUCUGUAUAUUUCA